AUGGACCAACAUGUUGUCAUCAGGGUUGAGGAGAAUGCUAACAAGGUGAGUGGCAGUGUGGAUCUACCUGAAUCGAAGACACUAGCGCUGAAUGACACACGUCCUAAGCCUGAAUUAACUGAUAGAGUCACCAACCAACAUGUUCUGGUCAGGGUUGAGGAGAAUGCUGGCAAGGUGAGCAGCAUUGAGGGUCCUGCAGUUAAGGUUCUACUGGUUGAGGUGGAUGCUGGUGAGGUGAGCAGCAUGGAGUUUAAAGCAUCUACACUCCGCCAGUCACCUCCUACACUUAACUCAACCCACAGGUCCAAGGAAUGUGCUUAUGACACUGCCGAAAGUAAGACUGGCUCUGAAAUUGUUGAGGAGGAAAAGCUUGCAGAUGAAUCAGAUCCUUGGGCACAAGAAUAUCGUGAGAUACUAGAGUACUUGGCCGAACAUAGAUAUACUGACGUCGUGGAGGCUAUGAUUGCCGCUAGUCAUGGCUUUAGCAACCCGGCCCAGCAUAAACUGGAUGCUGAAGCAUUUUGGUCAUCAGGAGAGGAAUUAAAAUUUCCUGAAGUCUCCAAGUCCUUUGCCUCCCCAACAGAGAAUUCAGUGCAGGGAGAACCGUCUACCAAAGAUAUCAUUGAGAAUGCUAAGAAGUGGAUGGGCGAGGAAGUCAUGGUGGCUUUCAAGAAGUACAUCAAAUGGCAGGACCAAUUCAAAGACGUGGAGUAUAGCCUGGAUGAGCUUCAACAUCAGUGCUUCAGCGUGGAGAGCUAUGACCAUACCUUCCAUCACUUCAACUUCACCGUUAAGAUGAAGAAGCCAGACGGUGAUGAUUGGUCAUCGACGCCCUAUUUUGCUCAAGUGAAAGAGAUCUAUGGAAGAAAAUAUUAUACCUGCUACGAACUAAGUUCAUAUGAUGAUGGUCACUGCUACGCGUGCAUAAAUCAAGGAAUGCAUGCACUGAAGCACCCUAUUGGUGAGUUCGGGUACGACGGUGGCCAUCCUGACACGGGGUCCCCCUUCAUUUAUCUUAGUGACGAUGAAUAA
rnacentral:rRNA from 1 species